AGUGAACGCUGGCGGCAGGCCUAACACAUGCCAGUCGAGCGGCAGCGCGGGGGCAACCCUGGCGGCGAGCGGCGGACGGGUGAGGAAUUCGUCGGAAUCUGCCUUUUUGUGGGGGAUAACGUAGGGAAACUUACGCUAAUACCGCAUACGUCCUACGGGAGAAAGUGGGGGACCGCAAGGCCUCACGCAGAAAGAUGAGCCGACGACCGAUUAGCUAGUUGGUGGGGUAAAGGCCCACCAAGGCGACGAUCGGUAGCUGGUCUGAGAGGAUGAUCAGCCACACUGGGACUGAGACCCGGCCCAGACUCCUACGGGAGGCAGCAGUGGGGAAUAUUGGACAAUGGGCGCAAGCCUGAUCCAGCCAUGCCGCGUGUGUGAAGAAGGCCUUCGGGUUGUAAAGCACUUUUGUCCGGAAAGAAAUCCCUGGAGCUAAUACCUUCGGGGGAUGACGGUACCGGAAGAAUAAGCACCGGCUAACUUCGUG
rnacentral:rRNA from 1 species